GGUGUGUCUAGGUCUCUCGACAUUCCUACUAGAGGUAUUGAUCAUGAUCUCACAUUAUAUACUUGGAAGAAGUUUGUGCUUGUCUUGAAUUUGCAUUACUGACAUCUUCACGUCCAGGUGAGAAUUGGCACAGAACCUCUAUAGAUGCACAGCACCGAGAUUCUUUCAGUGACUGUUAAUAUUUAGCAAUUUGAGGGCUUCCAAGGGCUAGUAGUUUCAAUAAGCACUUUUUUUUUUUUUGCAAUUAGUUUAUUUGUAUCUUAUAUUGCAGACAGAUUCCACCAACGGGGAGAAUCCAAGCAUCAAGAAAUCCCUCUUUCCUCUUUUUAAUUCAAAGAAUCAUUUAAAGCAUAGUUCUUCUUUGAAAAAGCUUCCUGUAGUCACUCCACCCAUGGUUCCCAAUUCCGACAGCCCUGAUCUUCUAACGUUGCAGAAAUCCAUUCAUUCUGCUAGCACUCCAAGCAGCAGACCAAAGGAGUGGCGCCCCGAGAAGAUCUCAGAUCUACAGACCCAAGUGAGUGGAUCCUGCACCGUUCCUAGACUCUCCAACUCUGCAGUAACUGUCCUGAGGAGCCG
rnacentral:lncRNA from 1 species